GUCGUAACAAGGUUUCCGUAGGUGAACCUGCGGAAGGAUCAUUAAUGAAUUGUAAUGGAGGCUGAUGCUGGGAAAGUCAACUUUGUUGGCCUCCAUGUGCUCGCCGCCCAACAAUAUUUUGUCCAAAUAYAACCACCUGYGCACAUUUCGGGGGAGAGAGAGGGGUGUUCUCUUACUUGUUCCCUCGAUAUACAACCACCGCCUUACAAUAUUGAACGUGAUUGUGCCGCCAGGCUUUUAACGAAAUACAACUUUUAACAACGGAUCUCUUGGCUCUCGCAUCGAUGAAGAACGCAGCGAAAUGCGAUAUGUAAUGUGAAUUGCAGAAUUCAGUGAAUCAUCGAAUCUUUGAACGCACCUUGCGCCCCCUGGUAUUCCGGGGAGCACUCCUGUUCGAGUGUCGUGAAUUCUUCAAGCCUCUGGAUGUUUUUCAUCUCACGGGCUUGGUAGUAUUGGGCUUUGCUGUGCCAUUUGUUGGAGCGGCUUGCCUUAAAAUCAUUAGCUGAUCCUUAUGCGGCAUUGGUUCUACUUGGCGUGAUAACAAUCUGACCGCUGAGGACAUCUCCUGUGGGAUGGCCAAUUCCUCAUCUGGGUUGCUUCUAAUUUGGGCCCGUGCCCCUUUGCAGAUUCUGAUUCUGCUGUGUUGCGCACGGCUCCCUUUUCUCCUUUGACCUCGAAUCAGGUGGGACUACCCGCUGAACUUAAGC
rnacentral:rRNA from 1 species